CGGGGUGCAGCAGGCGCGAAACCUCUGCAAUAGGCGAAAGCCUGACAGGGUUACUCUGAGUGACUUUCGUUAAGAGAGUCUUUUGGCACCUCUAAAAAGGGUGUAGAAUAAGGGGUGGGCAAGUCUGGUGUCAGCCGCCGCGGUAAUACCAGCACCCCGAGUGGUCGGGACGAUUAUUGGGCCUAAAGCAUCCGUAGCCGGUUCUGCAAGUCCUCCGUUAAAUCCAACUGCUUAACAGAUGGGCCGCGGAGGAUACUACAGAGCUAGGAGGCAGGAGAGGCAAGCGGUACUCAGUGGGUAGGGGUAAAAUCCGUUGAUCCAUUGAAGACCACCAGUGGCGAAGGCGGCUUGCCAGAAUGCGCUCGACGGUGAGGGAUGAACGCUGGGGGAGCAAACCGGAUUAGAUACCCGGGUAGUCCCAGCCGUAAACGAUGCAGACUCGGUGAUGGGUUGGCUUCGUGCUAACCCAGUGCCGCAGGGAAGCCGUUAAGUCUGCCGCCUGGGUAGUACGGUCGCAAGACUGAAGCUUAAAGGAAUUGGCGGGGGAGCAC
rnacentral:rRNA from 1 species